GGAUAGCUCAAUUGGUAGAGCAUGAGACCCUUAAUUUUAGGGUCAUGGGGUUUGAGCCCCACGUUGGGCA